AUCUAUGGUCAAUGUCGGUACGGUAAAUGUCUUAUUUUACAAGUUUGAAAAACGCGAAGGGCGUUUAAAUUAAGGGUAAAUUGCAGGCCACACCCGUUGACCAUGUUUUAUUUCCAUGGAUUGUCAAAGUCAAAUGUGGUUUUCACCAUUUGUCUUUUCGCCUGCAAAAUGACGCUUCUGCCCUUGCGCUUCUCUCUUAGCAACUGUUGAAAUGUACGGUUUAGUUUAGCAGGUUUAGUUACGUACACUGUUCCGGUUCAGUUGAAGAUUUUUUGUUCACGUUGACGCGAUUCGGUUCCGUUACAAGUGAGAUUAUUCCGAAGUGACAUCAACAUUUAAUGCCCCCAAAAAGUUUAGAUGUGACUAUUGUCAUAAUUAAUGAAAAAUCAUCAUUACAUCAAAUAAUAUUAAAAAAAUUA
rnacentral:sRNA from 1 species